rnacentral:sRNA from 2 species
ACUCAACACGAAUCUAUUAUGAAGGAUAAGUCUUAGUUGCUAAAGCAUGCCAUCUUAGAAUGGACCCUUGAUCAACUAGUUAGUCCUAUAAAUACCAUAAUGGAGUUU